CCAGUAAACCACCACCCAGAAUCACAAAAGAUGGCCCGGCAUGCCUUACCUCAGCAGAAGUGCUUCAGGGGUGGGGAGUGAGAGGAAAAGCUAGUGUGACACCGCCCACAGGAUACUUCAGAGGAAGAUGGAAAAGUGCUGAAAAUACACUGCAGGGAAGCGGCGAGGAGGAGGUGCCGAGUGAAAUGGGGAGCGUCACAAGCAGGAGGGCCAGACGUUAGGAAGGCCAAAUGGGAUCUACCUGGUUUCCAGCAGCUUUUAUUCAUGAGGACCUGUGCUGUUAACCAGCUUCUCUCCGUUAAAAUAAUGAGGUUUCUAUUUAAAUGCUCUCAUAUCUGCAGUGGUACCUUCUAUAUAAAGUAUGCAUCCAUCUACAUAAUUACAUUUCCAUUCUCACCAGUAGAAGUCUGAAUGAGAUUUUUCAGGCUCAAAAUGGAAAUGGACACAACCAGGUGUUUUAUUUCGAUAGCAUAUUUUUAAAUUUUGCAGUCUUAAUUAAACUGGUCUAUGGCCAGUCUCCUAUAGCACGCCAGCAUCAUGAAAACAUCACAGCUCCAAGAGAAUUCUGUCAUGAUCUAACAUCUGGGUCAGAAUUUCCAGUCAAAGAGCUCCCUGAGGCCAUAUUACAGCAGCCCACUGCCCAAAAUUACCUACAUAAUUCCUGUGUCUGUCACACCUUUAUCCUGUAAUGGAUCGUUCCUCAUGGCAGCUGUCAUCCAGGAUGAGGAUACAGAUUCUGCUGAGGCACAGUUCAGGUCAGACAGAUGCUGAUUCAGCCAACACCAUGUCCUGAACCCGCAAAUGUCGUCCUCAUUUCUCCCCACACUGGAACAUACAGUAGAUGGCACAAAUGAACUGAGAAUAACGUUAUUUCAAGAGAAUGAAUCCAGCAAGUAAAUAAAAAAUAUAUAAAAAAUACAUGCUAAGAAACAAUAUAUUUAUUUAAUGCAGUCAAAUCCAUUGAAUACAAAUGUCUGUAAAACUAUAAAAAGUCGCAUUUUUUCCUCUUUGAACCUUAAAACUUUAUUCCACUAUAAUAAAAAAACGCGUCUAAAUGCAGUGUAGAAUUGCAUUGGUUGUCACACCUGUCAUAUAUGCGGUGGGGGCGGGUCCUGUACGGUCCUGUCCCGCACGUGCAUAAUAGCGCGUAAAGGUUACUGUACUAAAUGAGCUAGUUCAUAAAUCUCACUUCACUGCAGCUCCCACAGCAGCUAACGGUUUGCUACCCGGGGUUAGCCUGUUAGCAUGCUAGCGGCGUUAGCAUCGCCCAAUCUGAGCCAUGUUGUUAGCUAGUUUGGGAAAGCACGCGCGAGCUCGUUAUGAAUGAUAGAUAGACAAUGAAAGUCGAUACAUAACGUCCAAGGUGGAAGCUGUCCCAUGACUGUCCUCAUGAACACUGCCGUGUUGAGCGUGUGAGUGUACUAAACGGACCCAUGCUACUGCAGCUGGAUAAUGUGGUUUCAAUUGAAUAAGCAGCGGCUGAUUAGUGUGAUUCCAUUGGCCGUCAGCUGUGCGACGCGCCUCCACCGCGGCGGUCGUUACCGUCCCGACCGGCCCCUUCCUCCUUUUGUCCUCUGCAGCGCCGGACCACUCAGCUCCACGUAUCGCCUCAUUUGGGAGAAUGGGCCUCCUGGCGUGUUGGUCUUUAUUGACUGCGCCCCCCCCCCCCCCCCUCCGUUACAACACGUAGCACCGACUGCACCAGUCUACAACAGGAGAGCUGCAGCACAGACAGUAAAUGUUUCUCCCACUAUUAAAUUACUAUAUGUUUCUUAAACCUUUUGUUUAAUAAACUGAACCGUGUGAGAAAUUUCAAUCCAGCCAUGGCUGAUGUUAUCUUUCAGGGAAGACACUUGUAGUGCUGCACCAGCAAUCAGCGGGACAGCGGGCCGGUCACACACAGACUCACUGACAGGUGUAUGAAUGUUCUACCGGCAAAUGACUCAUUGACAUGCGUGGCUGCAGAGGCAGAGUGGCCAUCUCCACCUGCUGUACCCAGCUGUACACAUGCAUUUCCCUGUGCCUGUUUAAUCGGCCCAUUGUGAUGAACCUCACACUGUAGCUCUCGUUGUAUUUUCCGUCCUGUAGUGUCAUAGUGUGAUAAUGUGUACAUACUGUACCAUUUGCAGCAAUUACAUUGGAAGCAAAUGAAAGUGAUUAUGGUGGUACUGGACUAAAAGCCUGCAGGCAAGGCCAUAGGCACCGCAUUCAGGAUAAGCACACGUGUCUCACCUUUAUUAUGCCUGCUCGCCAGAUGAUAGGCUCUGGAUUUGUAAUGGAUGUGUGUUUGGGUGUAGAUGCUGUUCAGGUCCUGUUUCCAGGUGUUCGGGUUCAGGGAUUUCAGAAGCUGUUCCACAGUUUCAAAGUCGGCUAUGGUGCGGUCCAAGUCGUCCAGAGAGACGGCGGCCUCUGUGAUCGUGACCGGCAUCUGGGCAAAGGUCAAAGGGCAAAGACGGAACAAGUCAUUCAAGCUUUCUCACAGUAUGGCAUGCAAGAAGCGUUCUCCUUGGUGUGGAGGUCAGUGCUGUCUCUUUGUGAGCCCUGAAGAGAAAUCCAGGCAUUCACAGAAGGACCUGACUGUAUUAACACACAGCCUCCACACUGACACAAAGGGAGUGAAGUCAUCAAGACAAAGGUCACGUUCAUGUUUGGUCUGGGAUCCUCUCAACAUUCAUACAACUUUUAAUGAAACAGAAAUCUGACUUUUGGGCAGAUGCUGUAGUCUGACGACGCUAAUAGUUCUUUUUUAUAUUUGGCUUCAGUAAAUCUAAGAAUUAAACACUUUAUUCUAAAUGAAGGUGUAUUUGUGUUCAAUUUAGUUCAAAUAUAAAUUUUCCAUCUUAAUAAUCUUUCCAUAAUUCAGAAUAUUAAUGCAAAGUUCGUACCAUAUCUCCAAGGUGGUUGCUUGAUGGGCCCUUCUCCUCCACUACUUAUCUUGAUUGCAUGAUUGCAAUGAAAUGUUCAAAUCAUUAAAGAGUGUUUCAGUUGUGCCAUUAACGUUUGUAAUCAUCAGCGAGUUCAAUAACAUUCAAAAAACAAGGGGAGGUCAUUAAAUGUUGUCAAGGGAAGCAGUGGAAGAAAGACAGCAUUUUAAAAGUUCUAGUUUAUAUAAGUUUAUUAAAAAAAAAUAAAAGUGUUGAUUUAUUAAAAAGAAGUAACCCAGCUCAUGUAAAAAAGCUGAAGUGAAGCAUGAGCACCUACUGUACUGUAGCGUGUGCGACUGAGCCCAACUCACCGACAUGGGCACAGUGA